UCUUAUUUGGUGAAAUAAAGACUGUUAACUUUAUGUUAACCCUUAUAUAGUUUUUUUUUUUUUUUAAUUUUACCAAUCCCCAAUCAGACCAAACUGAUGAACUACUCAAGAACCUUCAACUCUUCAUAAAGGAUGCUCUGGUAUUCUAGGUCUCAUCCAUACGCAUACCUGAAGCAAUGGGGUUCUGCUUCCUGAAUGCCUUUCUCAUAAUGCCUUCCUUUACUGACUCAAAUGAUACCUAUCUUUCCUAACAAAGAGCAAGGCAGUUCAGCAGCAUGGUAUCCAUUUACUGAUUCAUUCAUCCUGCAACAAGCAUUAAACACCUUCUCUAUGCCAAUGACUAAGAACACAAUUGUAAUCAAGAUCCUAAGAAGUUUAUCAAAUGAAGGACAGUAAGAAACCUUUACACAUAAUUUUAGAGCUAUGGAAAAAUGUCAGCUUUGAAAGCCCACAAGGAGGAAUUCUCCUAAUUCUACUUUGGGGAUCAUAACUGGGUAAAAUAAACUCUUUCCAGGAAGACA
rnacentral:lncRNA from 1 species